AAAAUGGUAUCAAUAAAAGUGUCCUAUUAAAACAUUGCCUAGUUUAAAUAGAAGGUUUAGUUACCCGUGUCACAAACAAGUAAUCCAUUCCCUAUUUUAUGUUCCAAAACAUCAAUUUACAAAAAGGGACAGUACCAUUACGCAAUAACAGUAGUAAGAAAUAAUUACUUCCCCGUUGCUCUUUGACGGUGAAUGAAAUAUUGUAAUUCAUUCAAUAAUAAAUGAACUAAAUCUUUCUGCAGCUUAAUGACUUAUUUUGUUACGUACUAAAGUUCCUGAAUGAAAGUUCACCUCGAUAGGACUAAUGAGAACUAGUUGCAUUAAAAGGGGACAUAGUGGCUGAGUGGUAGAGCGCUUGACUUCCGAACCGAAGGGUUCGAAUCUCGGUGAAGACUGAUUUUUAGUUUCGAGAUCGUUGUGCGCCUGUGAGCUCACCCAGUAUAAUAGGUACCCACAGAAACUCAUGACCUUCACAUCAUCUGCCUUAUAUACCGCAAGGUCUGAAAGGGGAACUUUACUUGUUACAAUAAAAUAUUUGAAAGUGUAAACUUACGAUAGGAAUGAAAAUUAAGUGCUUUAGUCUACUGCGAGUUAGGUUAAUUGAAAUAGAUAACUGAACUGUUUAAUGUUAAUAUUAAAUAAAUGUAAACACAUAUUUUAAAACUACUUUAAGAAAAAGAA